rnacentral:rRNA from 1 species
AUUGAACGCUGGCGGCAGGCCUAACACAUGCAAGUCGAACGAGUGGCGGACGGGUGAGUAAUGUCUGGGAAACUGCCCGAUGGAGGGGGAUAACUACUAGAAACGGUCGCUAAUACCGCAUACCAUCGGAUGUGCCCAGAUGGGAUUAGCUAGUAGGUGGGGUAAGGGCUCACCUAGGCGACGAUCCCUAGCUGGUCUGAGAGGAUGACCAGCCAAACUGGAACUGAGACAGGGUCCAGACUCCUACGGGAGGUAGAAGUGGGGAAUAUUGCACAAUGGGCGCAAGCCUGAUGCAGCCAUGCCGCGUGUAUGAAGAAGGCCUUCGGGUUGUAAAGUACUUUCAGCGAGGAGGCGUUACUCGCAGAAGAAGCACCGGCUAACUCCGUGCCAGCCGCCGCGGUAAUAC